GGGCACUCGGGCCGGGUCCCGCGGGCGCCUUGUGCUCGCUCCCUCCAGGAGGGGACGGCUCUCGGGCAGGGGUCGCCGGCCCCUCCACGCGGCCUGCGUUCGUCCAGACUCAGAGCCUCGGGACGUGCGGGGGCCCGGGGGCCUCGCGGGCUCGCGCGUGGGGCUGGCGGCGCGGAUGCCCUGGGGCGCUGCAGACCCCGAGAGGCCGCUUGCCCGCGGGGACGUCAGCCGCUUUUGCUGUUAAAAUCUGAAAUGUUCAGCAAGUUAGAAACUUGAAACCUAAGGAAGCGUGACCGGCCGCUCUGGAAGCCCCCGCCGCGCGGCCGGUCCCGGCCCCGGCCCUCAGCGGCGCUGGCGUCUGCGCGUCCCGGGGCUGCCCCCGCAGCAUGUGGGGCUGGGACCCUCUUCCCGCGCGGGCCCCGGGCGGACGCUGCGGGCGGUGACGGAGCCAGGCCGGCCGCCUGGGUAGGGGACGGGGGCGCGGGACCACUUGCUUGCCCGUGGCCGAUGCCUCAUCCGAACGGAAAACGUUUUCUUCAGGGGAGACAGAGGCUGUGGGCGAAGGUAUUUUUUAAGCCUGAGGACCCAUUUGGGAGUUAGAUUCUGGAUCGAGCCUAGGGAUGAGGCGUCCUGCCUUUUCCAGCCUUAUCUAGGAAGUGUCUUGCCAGGUCACCAAAUGGCAAGCAGAACCGUAAGCUGAAGUUGUCUGCCUAGAAUUCCACUGUGGCAAUGUUCAGCAUCCCGACUGGACAGCUCCGUGCGGCGGCAUCGGGGGCGCGGCGGCAUCGGGGGCGCGGCAGCAUCGGGGGCCCUUUUCAUGCCAUUCAAGGCCCCGUGGAAACAGACACCACAGCUCAGCAUGAGACUGUGGCCCCACCUGACCUGGCUCAUCCAUCCCCAGCCUCUCGUGGUCCCCGGCCCUAUGCCGACAUUUGGCACUCGAUGAGCCAUUUCUCCACAUUUCAGGAGCCUUGUUUUAAGACAGCCUGGCUGUCUGAGAGCCACCGGAGUCGAGACUGGAUGCCCGGCCUGGUGCCCGUGGGCCAGCACCGCCUGAGGAGGAGGGGUCUCUGGAGGCCACAGGCAGAGCCACUGAGAGGGAUCUUUAAGCAGAGGGCCCCACACACCUCCUGGGACCCACGGGUGUGGCUGCCAUGCAGGGUCUGGGAGCUACAGAGAGUCGGGAACCAAGGGCGCGGUGGCUCACACCUGUAAUCCCAGCACUUUGGGAGGCCAAGGAUCACGAGGUCAGGAGAUCGAGACCAUCCUGGCUCAUACGGUGAAACCCCAUCUCCACUAAAAAUACAAAAAAUUAGCCGGGCGUGGUGGCGGGCGCCUGUGGUCCUAGCUACUCGGGAGGCUGAGGCAGGAGAAUGGAGUGAACCCGGGAGGCAGAGGUUGCAGUGAACCCAGAUUGCCCACUGCACUCCAGCCUGGGCAACAGAGCGAGACUCCGUCUCAAAAAAAAAAAAAAAGAAAGAAAAAAAGUAAAAACAAGAGAGUAGGGAGCCAAGUCCCUGGGUUGCCAAGUCAAUCCGUGGAAGCCCCUGACUUCGAGCAGGACACAGGGCCCUAAGGACAGCCCCAGCCCCUGCAGUGUGGCCUGCAAUGGGUGUCAUUCAUUUUGACCUGGCUGUUGUGGUUUUGGGUGGUAUUGUUAUUUGUUUGAAAAGAAAACACAUGGGCUGCGUAUGGCAUGAGCAAGUACAGACGUCAUUGGGAUCGGCUAAUGAAAAUGACAGAGUACUCUAAAGUGACACCUUACAGGGACGUGGUGAUGUGGCACCAGGCCCAGUGGCACCAGCACACCACCGUCUCGCUGGCAUUUCCACCGUGGUCCCUGUUAAACCAGAAAGAACGAAAGUGUGAUGGGGAAAAAUAAGUAUGUGUUUCUUGUAAAACACAGCUCAUUUCAAAACUACUGAGAACAAGGGGACAGUUUGAAAUUGGGCAGAGCCCCUUGGGACCAGCUGGACCAGGAAGAAGGUCCAAUCAGCUCUUCCUCAGGGCCAGGAAUCUCUCGGUCACUCCGAGGCCUGGAAGAAAGUUUCCAGAACCUUUUUUUGCACAAAUAAACUGCAGAUCUGAAAUCAGCAAGAAGGUUCAGGACCUGGGCCCCCAGGAUUGGAACCACGGGAGUCUCAGAUCCUCAAACUAGCUGGGUUUGCUUCAGUUUUCUCAGGUGGGACGGGCCACCCUGGGUUUCCCAGGGUGAUGUCCCAACAGUGGAGGUGAGAUGUCACAGAAUGGAGGAUGUGAUAUGAUCUGUAACAUGGAAUCCAGCAGAAGCUCCAGCACUUAAAAGACAGGAAGCAGUGGAGGGCCUGGGUGUCCCAGCCUUCAUCAUUCCCUCACCUGGAGCAGUUGGUGUCCUCAGGGAAGGUUCUCAUUCAGUCCAUGCCUGGCAGAUCCCAUGGAGGUGCCCGGGUGAUUCUGGCACAAGGGCUGGAAGAUUCCUUCUUUGAUCCCUGCUGGUGGCCGGAGCUGGCUCACAGGCCUGGGGCUGCUCAGCUGCAGGACAGUGGGAGGAGGUGGGCUCUGGGUUCCUCAACCCGGCUCACAGCCCUGCUCCGACUGUCCCUGCUGGGCACCCCUGGCGGUGAUAUCAUCAGCCUGGGCCUCCGUUUCUUUUUUCUUUUUUUUCUUUUUCCUGAGACGGAGUCUUGCUCUGUCUCCCAGGCUGGAGUGCAGUGGCACAAUCUUGGCUCGCUGCAACCUCCACCUCCCAGGUUCAAGUGAUUCUCCUGUCUCAGCUUCCCGAGUAGCUGGGACUACAGGCAUGCACCACCACGCCCAGCUAAUUUUUGUAUUUUUAGUAGAGACGGAGUUUCACCAUGUUGGCCAGGCUGGUCUUGAACUCCUAACUUCAGGUGAUCCGCCCACCUUGGCCUCCCAAAGUGCUGGGAUGACAGGCGUGAGCCACUGCGCCUGCCCUCCAUUUCUUUAUGAACAGUGUGUGGUCCCAGCAUCCUGAAGUUGGUGUGAGGUGCAGGUGGGACGGCUUUGGGGCAGGCCCCAGUGCAGACGGCCCUGCUGCUGCCCCUGCCCGUGCCGCUGCCCCUGCCCCUGCUGCUGCCCCUGCCCCUGCCCCUGCCCCUGCCGCUGCCUCUGCCCCUGCCCCUGCUGCUGCCCCUGCCCCUGCUGCUGCCUCUGCCCCUGCGUUCCUGAGCAGGCCACCAUGCUACUCUUUGGGAGUCCUUUUUCUUCUUUUUAAAUGAGGCUUGAUUGGCUUAGGGAGAAACAGGAGACACCGCAUACCAUGCAGUUAAAAAUGAAACUCGGAUUAAAUGAAUAUUGAAUUCAGUACUGUACUGGCUUCCUAGAGCUGCUGAAAUGCAAACUGGGGGCUUAAAACCACGGAGACGUAUUCCCCCACAGUUCUGGGAAGUAGAAGCUCGAAUGCCUGUUGGCAGGGCUGAGCUCCUCUGCAGGCUGUGGGGAAGGACCUGUCCCAUGCCUCUCCUGGCUCCUGGUGGCCGCUGGUAAGCCUUGGUGUCCUGUGGCUUGUAGACACAUCUCUCCAAGUGCUGCCUCUGCCUCCAUCUCCGCGUCUUCCUGCCGCCUCCUUAUAACGACGGCAGCCAUUGGAAUGGGGGCCCACCAAAAUCCAGUCUGACUUUGUCUUCAUUUAACUGAUGAUAUCUUUAAAGAUCCUGUUUCCAAAUAAGGUCACAUUCUGAGCAUCCAGGGGAUGCGAGUUUUGGGGAGACUCGAUUCCACCAACACCAGCAUCGAAGAGGGCAGGGCACAGAGAUGAAGCUAAGGUCCAGGGCGCACACACUGAUGGGCACCCUUGAAAUAACGGCAAGGGACCCCCUAUGGGUUCCCCCACUCAUAAAGAAUGCCGAGGAGUUAGGAAUAGGACAAGCACGUGUCCCUCAAGGCUACUGUUGGGAUGCCCAGGACUUGUCUGAGCCCUUCUCUAGACCGGCUGCUCAUCCACCCGCUGCCUCUAAAACCAGGUAAGAGAAGGGGAGAGAGAGGGUCAGGAGAUGCCCUGGCCCAGGAGCAGAAGCUCCCCUGGAGGCCUCGGUCUGUGGGCCUCCUGCAGGCUGCACAGGGGGGGCCACAGCUGUCCUCACCCAGGGGCCAUGCCCUCCCAAAAGGAGGCCACCAGAGGCCCCUUGUCCCACAUUUUUGGAGUGUGGACAGCCAAACUGGGUCAUUCAGACCCAACCUGGUCACUGUGGAGGGAAUGGGCUGUGCCCCACUCCCCACCCAAUACCAGGCCGAGGCCAGCAGGUCUGAGGGUCCCUGUGGAGCUCUGUCCUGCCCCAGCCCCGGCCAGCUGUCCUACUGGCUCCUCUAGUCCUCUUCUUAGGUAAGGCUGAGAAAGUGGGUCAAAGGCAACAACCUCAGAGCCUCUGGCCGCUCCUACCUGAAGGGCCGGGGCUCUGUGUGGGUGAAGACCGGCAGCUUCCUGGAGUAACCAGAGGGCUGAGCCUCCUCCUUGACUUGUUCGGAGUGUUUCUUCACUGACCGGUUUACCUGGGUGUGCAUACGGAGGGUGAGCCACUGGAACAGUGAAAGCGUCCACCCUUCACUGAGUCAGUCCCUCUCCCGGAAGGGGCCAGGGACAGGGCAGGAUGGCUGGGCAUUGCAGGAGAUUCUUCCCCUCUGGCCACAUUCUCCCCAUGCUGGGGAGGUGGGGGUCAGAAGCCCACCAAACAGACGGGGAAGUAGGGACAGGUCCACAAAACCACGGUGAGAUGCCACCGCACACCCAUUGGGAUGGCUACCAUCAAAACACAACAGAAAAUUACAAGUGUCUGCAAGGAAGUGGAGAAGCCGGAGCCCUUGUGCACUGCUGACGGGAAUGUGAAUGGUGCAGUCGCUGUAGGAAAUGGUCGGUGAGUCCUCAGAUGGCAUGGUGAUCCCACAGGCAGUUCACACGAGCAGGAGGUGGGACACUCAAACAUCCAUCCACAGAUGAAUGGAGACACAGAAUGUUCCACAAAAUGGAAUAUUACUCAGCCUUAAAAAGGAAGGAAGUUCUGAGACAUGCUACAACACAAAGGAACCAGGAGGACAUCAUGCUGCGUGAACGAAGCUGGUCCCAAGAGGACAAAUGCCGUAUGGUUCCACGUGCACAAGGUCCCUGGAGUACUCAAAUCCACAGAGGCAGAAAGUAGAGUGGGAGGUGCUGGGGCUGGGGGAGUGAGUGUUUAAUGGGUUCAGAGUUUCAGUUUGGGAAGAGGGAAAAGUUUGGAGGUGGAUGGUGGUGAUGGUUACACAGCAGUGUCAAUGAACUUAACGUCACCAAACUGUGUGCUUUCAGAUGGUUAAAAUAGUAAAUUUUAUGUUAUGUGUAUUUUACUGCAAUAAAAAAAUGUUAAGCCAGGUCCCAUAGUUCAGCAAGAACCAAAAGGGCCACAGGACCUCCCAGUAGCUCCCUGCCCCGUCCUUAGAAACCUGAGCCCCCUCUGGCACGGAGGGAGGCCUGGCACAAGAGGCUGGCAGUGGGGUGGGCCUUGGCAGCCCACCUGCAGCCUGGCCUGGGCUCCACAUCUGCGAGGACUACACCGGGUGCUCCCAGGAGCUCCGAGUUCUCAAGAGACACCUCAGCUUUCUCAUCCCCAAAACCUCCUUCUCUCCAUUCGGAGCGUCUCCCCUGAACCCGACAUGCUUCCCCAGUGGGAACUAUGCUCUCCCCUGCCCCACCCCGGUGGACGGGUCCUGCUGCUGCCCUGACACCCUGGCACUUCAGGCAGCCACUGGAAGGGCCCAGAACCAGGAGCACAGGUGCUCCUGAGCCAUGCCCAGCCACCCCCGGUGGGGGCAAGCUCCGUGGCUGCGCCACGCCCUGGAGGGCUUUAGAAAGCAGCUGUGUUUGCUUUGCCCCUAGAUGUCACUUAGAAACAGUGUGUCCCAUAAUUGUUUUCUGGGGAUAUUUUUGGCUUUUUUUUUUUUUUUGAGAUGGAGUUUCGCCCUUGUUGCCCAGGCUGGAAUGCAGUGGCACGAUCUUGGCUCACUGCAACCUCUACCUCCCGAGUUCAAGCGAUUCUCCUGCCUCGGCCUCCCAAAGUGCUGGGAUUACAGGCGCGCCACCAUGCCUGGCAAAUUUUUGUAUUUUUAGUAGAGACGGGGUUUCCCCAUUGUGGCCAGGCUGGUCUCAAACUCCUGACCUCAGGUGAUCCACUCGUCUCGGCCUCCUAAAGUGCUGGGAAACAGGCAUGAGCAACUGCUCCCGGCCAUGUCCCAUAAUUGAAUCUGUGCUACCAAAUUUAUAUUUUAUAAAUAUAUAUUUUUAAAAAUUCCAGUUUGUAGCAAAGAUGGUACUGUGGUUUGAAAGUGUUCCCCAAAGUUCAUGUGUCGGAAGCUUGAUCCCCAACAUGGCCGUGUUGGGAGAUGCGGUCUCAUGGGAGGUGUUUGGACCGCAGGGGCACGACCCUCACAAGUGGGUUAAUAUUUUAUUACAGCAAAUAUAUACUAAGUUUGUUGGCCUUUGUUGGGCCUGUUUAUUACAUCUUGGAUUUUCAGUGACUUUUUUUCUUCUACCUGAGUUUAAAACAGUGCACAUGAAAGGAUUUGGAAUUUUAAAACUUUUUUCUUGAUGAUAAAAUUGAAUAUAUGAUUAUUAUAAAAAAUAUAUAUGAAAAUAAUAAUACUAACAUAUAAGAAAUAAUUCAUAAUUCUACCACUCAGAUAUCAUCACUCAGUAUUUUGGUGCAUUUUUUUCUAGUUGAAUAGAUGUAAAUUUUUAAAAAAUAAAUUUGGAUUGUACCCCAUAUGAACACUCUUAUAGCCUUUCUAUUUGUAGAAAGAGAAUUCCAUGUAUCAUAUAUAAUUUAAAUACAUUAUUCUUAAUAUCUAAUAUCUCAUGUUUAACAUGUAACAUUCCCAUUUAUUUAACAUUUCUAUUUGUAGACAUUAUUGUUUCUACACGUUACUAUAAACAGUGUUAUUGUGAGCAUCUUUCCCAAAACUCUUAAUUCCUAUGUGAAAUUUUUCCCUAGGAUAAAGGCUUAAAAAUGGAAUUACCAAGUGAAAGAGGAUAAAGUGUCUUAAAGCCUUUGAUAUAUGUUGCCAAACUGCUGGGGCACCCCUGACCUUAAACUGUGCCAACAUUUAAGAAUUUUCAUUUUAAAAAUAUUUUGCUAAGUUCAGAAGUGGAAAAUAAUAUCUGUAUUAGUUUCCUAGGGCAGCCAUAACAAAGUAUAAAAAACAAGCAGUUCUAAACAACAGAAAUGUGUCCUCCCACAGUUCUGGAGCCAGAUGUCUGAAAUCUGUGUGGGCAAGGCCAUGUUCCCUCUUCAGCCUCCUGGCGAGAUUCCUUUCAUGCCUCUUCCAGCUUCUGGAGGUUCUCAGGGACACCUGUCAGUCGUUGGCUUACAGAUCCCUCAUCCAGUCUCCGCCACCAUCUUCAGAUGGGCCGGCUUUUCCUGGGGCCUCCCUCUCUUCUUAUAAGGACACCAGGCAUUCUGUAUUUAGGACCCAGCCUACUCCAGUAUGGUCUCACUCUAACUAGUUAAUCUGCAACCACCCUAUUUCCAAAUAAGGCCAUGUUCUUAGGUACAGGAGGUGAGGACUUAACAUACCUUUCAGUAGGGGGACACAGUUCAAUCCGUAAUAGCAUGCAUUUAUUGUAAUGGGCACUUCUUGGAUUUCCUUAUGGAAAGUGAUUCUUCUCUUCAUGUUCAUUGGCCAUUUGUGUUUGAGUGUCAGUUCUUAUUUUCUGCUCCAUUUUCUAUUAGUGGGUCUCAGUCAAGGCUCCCUUUAUUGUGAGAGGCAGAAAUGCAACUGAAACUGGUUCAAGCUAAAAGGAGAGUUGGUGGUUAACAUAACUAAAGGGCCCAGGAUACUACAGGCUUCAGGUUGAGCUCGACCCAGGCUCACACAAUGUUUAUCUGUUCUAUUCCCUUUUUUCAGCAGCAUCCCUCAGUUCUACUUCCCUGCCUUGGCUUUGUUCUCAGGCAGGCUCAUUCCAGUUUGUAGCAAAGAUGGUGCUAUGCUUUGAAAGUGCCCCCCAAAGUUCAUGUGUCAGAAGCUUGAUCCCCAUCAUGGCAAUGGUGGGAGGUGGGGCCUAAUGGGAGGUGCUUGGGUCAUAGGGGUACGACCCUCACAAGUGGAUUAAUACCAUUAUCUCAAGAGUGCGUUCCUUAUAAAAGGACAAGUUUGGCCCCAUCUUGCGCGCUCUCUCUCUCUCUCUCCCCCUCUCUUUGUGUGUGUGUGUGUGUGUGUGUGUGUGUGUGUGUGUGUGUGUGUGCUCUCACUUUCUCACUCUUGCCCUUCUGCCUUCCACCUUGGGAUGCCGCAGCAAGAAGGCCCUAACUAGAUGCCAGUGCCAUGCUCUUGGACUUCCCAGCCUCCCCAGGACAUCUCUGUUCAUUAUAGAUUACCCAGACUUGAUAUUUUGUUAUAGCUGCACAAAGCAGACUAAGACAGGUAGCUAACAUCCUACUAGUUCACCGUCUACAGAGAAAGCAUAUCUUUUCCCUGAUAGUCCCAGCCACGGUCCCAGGCAAGCCCUUCAUUGGCCAGGUUUAUGUCAUGUUUAAUCUCUGGAGGUGAAGAAUUUAGGUCAGCACACCCAAAUCACCUGGACUAAGGGCAGGAGGGGGUGGUUUACUGGGGGCUAUUACAAAGGAAGGAGCCACAGAUUCCUUUGCACGGGCAAAAUCAAAAGAUGGGCCCCUAGUAAGGAAAUGCUUAUUUAUUCUGAGAACUCUUUUUAUAUUAAAGGCAUGAAUCCUUUACCUCUUUCUUCCAUGGUUUUUUCUUAGUUAUUUGUCUCUGUGGGUUUUUUUUACAGGAGGCCAAACGCUGCCUUGUGAGUGUGGCAUUCCUGGGGCACAUUUGCCAUAUAGCAUCACUGCAUAAUAACGUCCAACAGGAGCAUAUUGCCAAGACACAUUCUCUGGGCGUGAACAAAAAAACAAACCUGUGGCUAGUACUUCAGUCAGUGAAUUGGCAUUCGAAAGCGUGUCGUCAUUAGUACAGACGUCAGCGGUGAAUGAGAAAGCAAAGAACCCGUGGCUGCACCUAAUAAAAGGCCGGCAGGGAGAUAAAAGCUACCGUGGUUGUGCAAUGAUGGGACAAAAUGCCCAGGGUCACUGGUCCAGGUGCAGGUUUUGAGUCCUCACUCAAAAAUGAGAUAAGGAAUGUGACUUUGAACUCAUUAGCCUUUUGAUCAGGCUAUGAACUAAAGGCAAAUAGAACAGGUGGCCUGACCCCUGCCAGAGACUGGCACUGCCUGCGAGGUAGGAGCUCCCAGGUGGGCAGGGACCAGAGGUCAGUGACUUGGUGCACCCUCCACUCAUGGGGCCGGGCCGGCAGUUCUCCCUCCUUCCUCUUCUCCUCCCCCUCCACGGGGGAGAUUCUAAAACCCCCAGGAGGAUGUCCCUGGUAACACUGCUUCUCCCUUUUCACGUCAGGCCCCAAGCCCUGUUUAGAUCCCAGGGUAACAGCACUGAGCAGUGGAAGAGCCCUUGCUACGUGGCCACCCAGCCGUGGGCCCAGGGAGGACGCGUUCCUUUUUGCACAGCUGGCCGGAGAAGCUGCUGUGCGUCAGGGCCAGGCCUGUGGCUGGGAGAGCAACAAAGUGUAGGGAGGGUCACGGGGCAACUGUGGCCCACGUUACUGCCCAGACGGUGCCCCCUGUCCUGGAAGGAGGCGUCCCCUCACAACCCCUGCCCAGGAAGGAGGUGUCGGGGCUGACAGCAGCACCUGGGAGGUGACUUGGAGGGUCUGGGGUUGGGGGGUUGACAAGGGCGUGAACAGUUGGGAGAUGGGUGAAUUAGAAAGGGGCAACCAAACAAGUCAAGCAUCUUCCCAAAUGUUUCAAGGUUUAAGAGGGCGUUGUAACACACAAUGGUGUGUGAGUGUGUGUGUGUGCACAUCCCUCUAUGUGCAUACAUCUCUGUGCACACGUGUGCAUCUGUGUGUGAUGUACACGCUCACACAUGUGCUAGCAGAGGAAGCACAGGGAGAGGCUCACAGGCCUGAGUGACGUCAGAGACAGGUAUGGCCCACAGGGCGGUCUGGCAGAAGCUGGCCUGGUACUUGCCUGGCUCCCCGGCCUCACCCCCUAACCCAGGGUGCAGGUUCCAGCCGCCCUCUCUCCAGGGCAGGGCGGGACACCCUGAGUGCUCAGUGGGCUUCUUGGCCCUCAGUCCCCAGAAGGUGAGGGUCCCCAUCCUCCUGGGUGCCCCCUACCCCAGCUCCUGAGCCACAUGGUCAUGGACUGGGGAAGCAGAGUCCAGACUCUAAGGAGGGGUUUCUUUGUCAUCUUCCAACUCAGGACCCUUGGGCCAAUCGGAGCAGCUCAGCCUCAGUUUCUCUCUUCUUCAUCUCCUGUGUACUUGAGGGGCCUCCCGAGGGCUGCUCCCUUCCCAGAUGAGGCUGAAGUAAACCCUGUCAUACAGGUGGGUGGGUCCCUGGAGGGGACAGGCCAUGCUAAAGCCACCAAGCCCCCAAAAGUGCGAAAGGAUGAACAGGAGGGCGGCGGGGCAGAGCUGGGUGCCUUGGAGUGGGGUGGGGGCUGGAUUCGGGGGUGGGAAGAGCAGAGCACCUUCCCUGCACGGGGAGGGUGCCCCUUCCUCUGCACAGACCCGCCUGCCCCCUCCACUCCGCGUGGCCCAGGGGAGCCAGGCCUGGAAGGAUGUCGUGGGCGACGCUAGCUUGGAGUGACUCCUUUUAUGGGGAAACUUUGGAACUUCAUCUGAGAAAGCCUUGUGCUAACCCAGGGCCCCGCCUCUGGCCAGGGCAAGACAAGGAAGCCAUCCACAGUCUUCAAGACUGUUGCUCCCGGGACGGUGCCAUUUCCUGUGGGAGCUUCAACACUCAGAACUCACCCUGGCAUGCAGGAGGCUCACAUGACGCCCUUGUCAAAGAAGCUGAUGGGUGAUUUAGUGAACAAAUGAUUCACGAGCAAAGAACCAAAAUCUCUCCGUGUGUGCCUGCAUCUGUGCUUGCGUGUGUGCGUGUUUGUGUAUGCUUGUGUGCACUACACGCAAGUGUGUGUAUCUGUGUAUAUGUUUUCUUGUGCACGCCUAUGGAUUUGGUUAUGUGCAGAUAUUUGCUUUGUGCACGUGGGCAUGCGUAGGUGUGUGCAUGUGGGUUUGCCGUAUGCAUGUGUGUUUGUGUUGUCAGGUGAAUGCAGGCAUGUACUCGUGUGUAUGAGUUACUGUGUGCAUGUGUGUGAUUUUGUGAGUGCUUGUGUUUGUGUAUGCGAGUUUGUGUGUACAUGUGUUUGUGUGUGUGGAUCCAUGCGUAUGCACGUGUCUCUGUGGGUGGGUCCGUGUGUGUGCACAUGUGUGCUCUCCUUUAAGCUCACCCCUGGCCAAGCCUCUUGGAGCCCAGGGCUGCCCAGGAACUUUGUGGAGCAUUUAGGGGUGUUUCAGUCAAGUUGGAAACAGGCUGGGGAGGGAUGGAUUUGUUGUGACCUGGAGGAGCGGGUAGAUGACCUCACCCAGUUGCACACAGAGGGCGUGGGUUAGGCACCAUGUACUUAAACUUGGCAUUGAAGUAGAAUGGACAUUCUGGAAGGAGACGUGACAGGGAUUUUCACCCCCACAAACGCUCACAAGGGAACUGCCCCCAGGGAGCUGUCCAGAUACCCCUCCAACCCUCCAGUCACCCCCACUCCCCUGGAAGCAUUAUCCACUGCGGGCACUUUGUGUGGCCAGAAUGGAGAACCCUGCAGCUUCUUCAUGUGGCGUUUCCUCUGCCCACCCUCCCAGCUCCAGCUGGCCCGGUGCCUCCAGGCACCAGCCCUCAGCAGCACCACCCACUCAAGGGUUCAUGACAGAUGGGUCCAAGCAGGGAAAAGUGGCCCCAAGGACUCUGAGCAGGAAGGGAUUGAACACAGGGAAGGGGUAUCACAGGACCCAGGAUGGGCUGCAGACUCCAGACGGGCCUCCUGGGAGACUCAGGCACAGAGUGCCGCCCCACCAGGCACUGUCACCACGGCAGCCCCCCCGGAGCCGUGCCGGGAGCAUAAAGCCACCAGGGCCGCUGCGUUGCCACUGCCUUGCACCCCCGGGAGCUGGGGAACAGACCCGCACAGCCGUGACCACCUGAAAGCCAGAUGAGCCAGGGGAAGCAGCUGCGCCUGCAGCCACCCCCACUCCAGCAUAUGGAGAACGCGGCAGGACAAGCUGGUGUCUCCGUGGGGUGCCCCCGUUGUCCCCACGUCUCACAUACACUCGCCUGAUGGGUGGCCUUCCCCACAUCCGGGACCCUGGCUAGAGUCUGAAAGGCGGCUGCCCACGUCCCAGCUGCCCCUGAGCAGGGAGGCCGGCAGGGGAUGCACGGCGAGUUCUCUCAGUGGUCGGCCGGGCCCCAGCCCCCUGGGUGCUGCGAGGGGACCCUGUGAGCCUGCUGAUGGCCAGUGAGCCGCGGUCCUCUGGUCCUAGCCGGCCUCGGGUCUGUGGUCCUCCGGGCAGGACGUGUCUGGCAGGCCAGAGGCGGCUCCUGUGUGCGCGGAACAGCCGCUUUUACAGGGGCGUCGGCUCGUGGCGCUGGCAGGGCUUCUGUCGCACCAGCCCUCGGCCCGCGGCAAAUGCCGAAUGCCGGUGCUGGGAACGGAAGUGGGAAAUGACGGGGGGUGCAGGGGAGCGGCCCUGACUGGGACUGUACGGGGACGCAUGGGGGUGCGGGCACUUGAGGGAGGAAGCAGCAGAGGGAGGUGUGUGGAUGUGUGUGUGUGCGUGACUGGGGUGUGAGCGUGCCCACUGUGGGUGUGCCCGUGUGUGUGGCUGUGAGGCGUGAGUGCAGGCGUGAAGUGUCUGGGAGUGGGAGCGGGCAUGAGUGUGUGCCACGGGCCUGCUGUUGGGUCCUUGGAGGCCACGGUUGCCCCUGAAGGGACUGCAAGCUCUUUUUUGAUUUGUAGUUAUUUGAGAAGUCUAUACAGGAAGAAAAUUAAACCGCAUUUACUAAAUACAAUAAAAUUACAGGAAGACAGAAUUGUCCCCAAAUUACAAACAUGUGGCCCGAGUUGCUCCACGACAGCUCAGCCCCAGACCAUGCAGUGGAGAUGGCAGCCCCGAGCCCCGGGCCCAUCUCCUGCUCCCCACUGAGGUGACACAGGACCCCUGUAAGGCAGGACCCCAGAGCCCCGCACAGGAGGGGGGGCUGUGUGGGGGGAGGGACCCCUGCCUGCUGUCCCUGCCCAGCCUGCGGUCCCGCCCCCACCAGGCAGCGGACCCUGGACUGCUCAUGAUCACGGCCUCACCUGGAAAGCUGCUAUGGGCUGGUCUGAGCCUCUUCCCUCUUUCCGGGAAAUCUGAGGCCCACCAGCAGCGGGCAGCAGGUCAUGGGUAUGGUCGCGGACUUGGAGGCCCAGGAAGGCCACCAAGGAGCAGGAAGGGCCGUGUCCUGGGAUCAGAGUCUAGGCCAGAGACCCUUCCCAAGGCUGUCACCCAGGAGGGAGAUGAUGGGAAGUGACAGUGGGGCCCAGGCUGGAAGUGAGAGGGGCCGGGCCUGUGGCGGAGUAAGAGCUGGCUUGGAGUGGGCAGAGGCCAAGGCAGCCGGGUGGGCACCAGACUUGGGAGAUGCUCGGCCUCGCACCGAGAAAGGGGGGGCGCUGGGGCCAAGUGCCCACUGCCCGGAGAGCAGGGCUGGGUCCUCAAGGGCCCCCUGCUUUUGGAUGUUGUGCAGCCACUGAAGCUGAAGCCCAGUCGCCCCGGCUCCACGGUCCAGACUCCCAGCAGGUGGCCACCCCUGACCACCUACUCUGAAAUCCAGGCACAUCCUGGCACCACCCGGCCAAGAGCCCACAUGGCCCCGGGGCAUUCAUCUCACUGGGCAGGGGCAGCCUCCGACCUCAUCCCAGCUCAGUAGGUGCUCGCGGUGCCCUCCUAAACGCCAGCCAUGAGCUUGAGCGAACGCCAGUGUGUCGUGAGGCUGAGCACAGCCUGGCCCCUCCACUCCGGCUCCUGGUGGCUGUCUGCUGUGUCCCCUAUCGGGGAAGAGGUUUCUCUUUGGCCCAAGCCCACCUGCCCCUGCCUGAGGGAGCCCUCAGCCACUACGCUCAGCCCGUCAGAAACCUGAGAGCUCAUGUCCACGACAGGGCCAGCCAGUGGGGAGAGGACCCGGGGCUCCCUUGGAGGCAGGGCACUGCUCGUUCCCGCGGCCGCUCGGCCCCGCCCGCUCCCUCCACCCCGAUUUCCCACAGGGCUUGCAGGCAUCGCCCCAAACAGACUCUGUCACCCAAGCCAUGUGCCUGGGCCUGCCUUUGGGUGUGGAUGGGGGGUGCCUGGCGGGGGGUGCCUGGCGGGGAGUGCUCUGAGUGCAGGAGCGGACACCCAGGCUGCCCGAGGAGGGCAGGGCGUGAGGACUGGGACAGCCGCACCCCUGCUGCUUGGCACGACCCAGUGAAGGAAUGACGUCCGCAAGGGCCACGUGAGCUUGGGGCGGGCGGUGCCGGUGGAGGGAGAGGCAGAGGCUGUCAGCCUCUCCCCACCCCUGCCUCACGUGGCCACGCCCGACGUCACCGUGUCUUUCUUUGUGAGAGCUGAGUCCACCGACCCCACCUUGUUUAGAUUAGGUUGGAAGUCACCUGGGCUGAGCUGAUGGCUGAUUCCGUCAGCAAAAAGAACUGUGGAACAUACUGGCACUUGGGCCGGUGUGAAGCCACCCCCCUGCCAUGAAAAAUGGCUCUUCCCUGCCACAGCCGGCCCAGCGGGAGCCAGGUCAGGGCCUGGAGACACAGCGCCCCCCACCGGAGCCACUGCCCGGCCCAGCAGCACCUGCGGAGAAUCCCACCAGCUCCCACGCCUCCCGCCGCGCCACCGCCCCGGCUUUCUGCAAAUCCACCUUAUGGAAGCCGGAUAAGGUGAAGUCCACAUAUAACUAAAAGCGAGUUACUGAGGGUUACUUUCUUUGCAGAGUGGUUCCCCUAAAGGAUUCCUUUAAACAUGAUCCGGUCAGCCAGUGCUCACUUACGUUCACCAAGUCACGUCGGUUUGUGGCGGCAGGAGCCCAGCGUGCCAGGCACCUGCGGGAGGGGAAGAUGCUGGGUGGGGCCCUGCUUUCGACACUUUGCAUCUUAAGCAGAAACGGUCUCACAUUCGCCCAGGCUGGAGUGCAGUGGUGCAAGCAUAGCUCAUUGUAGCCUUGAACUCCUGGGUUCAAGCCAUCCUCCCACCUUAGCCUCCCAAAGCGCUGGGAUUACAGGCAUGAGCCAACACACCUGGCCGGCACCAACUCUCAGCCACGCUGUCGCAGACAGCGGGGCCCCUGCUUGCUGCUGGAUGUCACCUCCCAGCCCUGAGAGGCUGGGGAUGGGAGCCGGCAGCACUCCUUUGCACAGAGCACCGCAGGAAGCACUGGAAUCCGGAAAGAGAGAGGGUGCCGUGAGCAGACUUCCCGGCAGGCGUCAACCUCCUGUGUGGUCAGGAGUGCAGGCGCUGGGGCCGGAACCCUGGGCACUCGACCACAACCGCCUGGGCAACGUGGCCAAGUGGGCGCGUGUCCUGGGGCUCUUGCAACAAGCCAGGUGGCCUCAACAACAGAUACUGAUUCCCUUACAGCUCUGGGGACCAGAAGCCCCAAAUUAAGCUGUGGGCAGGGCUGCACUCCCUCCAGAGGCGCUAGAGGGGGAUCUUCCUUGUCUCUGGCAGCUUCUGGUGGCCCAGGCGUUCCUUGGCUUGUGGCUGCCUCCCUCCAGUCCCUGCCUGGCCCUCCCACGGCCUCGGCCCCUCUCCAUGUGGCUCUCCCUGGGUUUUCUCUUCUCUUCAUGAAGGCGCUUGUCCUUCACACCAGGCGCUGUGGUCCAGCCUGACAGCCCAGGACGAUCACGCUGCCAGGUCUUGACCUGAUUAUAUCUGCAAAGACCCUUUUUUCAAAUAAGGUCAUCUUUACAGGUUCUGGGACACAGACAGAUCUUUCUGUGGGGACACCAUUCAACAAAGAGGGGAAGCCACAGCCAGACCCCCCUCCGCUCAAAGGCUUGCUGUUUCCUAUGUUGCCCGCCACACUCCGUGUCUAUAGAGCUGGGACAGUGGCAGUGCCCACCUCAGAGGUCACCGUGCAGAUUAAAUUCAUCCCUAGACACGAAGUGCUGGGUGCAGGCACAGAGAACUGGAAGGAAAGGUUUCCUGUGACCGUGUGCUCCUUCUGCCCUCGGCUCGGGGUCUCUGCUGUGCUCGGCGUGGGUGGUGAUGAGGAUGUCACUGGGUGCACAGCUGGCCCCGCAAGCUGCCCGGACCCCAGGCCUCCCCUCUUUCCAGCCAGGAUGUUGUGUGCUCACAGCCUCUCAGGGCCACAGGUGCAGUGACUGCUGCUGCUGUGUGCUUAUUUGCUGCAGAGACUCCACUGGGGCCAGGCUGAGCAGGACUCCCCAGACAUAUCCAGAGGUCCUUCGAGAGGGCCGCAUGGCAGGCACAGGGUUGAGGGGCCUGGUGGCAUGGCCACGGCUCACCUGGGAGCGCAGGUGGGAAGCCCCCACACCUAGCAGAGUGCAGCUCCUUCCCGCACAGCCACCUGCGCUCCUUGGCCUGACCCCGUAGGGCUCUCAAUAAGAAACGGGGGCUUCCCCUCCUCCAGUCUCACCCUCAGUCUCCACGUUGUCUCCACCUAGCACCUCCUCCUCUGAUGCGUCACAGUCACAGGUCCUGGUGAGGAGGGAGCCACGCCAAGCACAGCGGCUGGAACAGGGGCAAGUGGGUGCCCACCCCGAAGUGCAGGCAAUGAACUUGUGCUGUAGCCCAUGGUGAGCUGUGGGGCUGUUUGUGACUGCAGCGUAGCCAAGCCCAUCCCGCCUGAUGCGGCCUCUUCAUCCAGAGUGGGGGUGACGUGCCAGCCCCCACCUCACCGGAAUGCUGGGAGGAGCGUCUCCACGGAAGGAGCUCACUUUGUCAGCUGUAAUGUGCUGUGACUAUCGUGUGAGUUCCCGGGUCACUGUAACAAGUCCCACAGCCUGGGGGCUUCAACAGAGAGAGCCUGAAUGGCUCUCUCACCAUUCAGGAGGUGGAAUCCAGGGUCAGGGUGCGGCUCCGCUGGCUCCUGAGGCCUCUCUCCUUGGCUCUGUCUCCUGCUACUGUCCUCACAAGGCCAUCCCUCUGUGUGGGUCUGUGUCCUCAUCUCCUCUCCGUAUAAGGACACCAGGCAGAUUGGGCCAGGGCCACCCCACCAGCCUCAUGUUACCUUAACCACCUCUGUGAGGACCCCAUCUCCAAGUAAGGUCCCUUGCGGAGGCAUUGGGGCUUAGGGCUGCAGCAUACAGAUCUGGGGGAGACACACGGCCCCUAACAGUAUCAAGGGUGGGUGGGCCCUCAUAGGAUAGGACAGCCGCCCAGUGGGGAGACACGUGGCCCCUAACAGUAUCGAGGGUGGGUGGACCCCCAUAGGAUAGGACAGCCGCCCAGGGGGGAGACACGUGGCUCAUAACAGUAUUGAGGGUGGGUAGAGCCCGAUAGGAUAGGACAGCCUCCGGGGGAGACACGCGGCCCAUGACAGUCUCGAGGGUGGGUGGACCCCCACAGGACAGCCGCCGGACAUUUCCUCCUCUGCUAGUCUGAAAAUCACACUGUCUUAGGCAGACAGGGAAGAAUCAACAUUUCCAUGCCAGGCAGAGGCCCCCGGAGCGCAAAGGACCAGAGGAUCAAAGAGCAAACGUCACCCUCAGGGUCUAACGUGCAGGUGGCAGGACCCCGGCCCUUCCUGUGUAUCUGAUUGUGGGUUUUGUCUCUGCCACGUGCAGGGAUGGGUGCAGACUCCGUCCAAGGUCUUGGCAGGAAGAGAAAACUGCCACUGCAGAGGGGCUGGCUGAGGGGCUGGGAUGGGGUCCCCGGGGCGCGGAGCUGCACACCAGCCCCUCGCACCUAGGCAGAAGGUCCAUUGCCCUCUGCCCCGCAGCCUGCCCGUUCCCAGGCCAGCGAGGGCGCUCCCAGGCCGGUCUGCAGCCAGAACACAGCCCGUUCCAUGUGCUUGUCCUCGGGACACAUUAGGAAUGAACCCAGGCCUCAGUCCUGGCCUCCUCCUCAAGGCUGGGUGCUCAGACGUCCCCCUCAGCCCCUUUCUCUAGACCUUCCGGCUGAACAAACGAGAACAUCUCACAGCCCUGCAACAGCCAGGAGCUGCUCGUGGAGCUCCACGCCCGGCUGGAGAGAGAGGAGGCACCCUGGGCAGCCCGCCAGCACCCAGGCUCUCACAGUGGAAGCCCACGUCUUCUUGGGCUCUAUUUUGAAAGCUGUUCUUUCCACGACGGCUUUGACAAGAAUCGAUUUGAGUGAGCCGGCGUGUCAAUACAGGCCAGCACAGGACUGGCCUCAGGGCCACAUUGGGGAGGGUGGCGACCAGGCCCUGGCUGCAGCCCACGUGGGCAAAAGCAUGGCCAGGCAGGAGGUGGGGCCUGUGAGCUUGGCUACAGCGACCGUGGGCGCUGGGCCCGGGGCUCCUCAGCCCUGAGGGGAGACCCAGGCCCAGGCAGGCUCCCAGGCGGGCUCCCGGGCUCCCAGCCUUCCGAUCUUCUCCCUUUGAGACCUUGCCUUCUGCACAGUGACAGGAAAGAGCCCUGAGUCCCACUUUGCAGGGAUGUAUUGCAUUUCCAGAAAGUUCCUUCCGGGUGCAGAGUGAUACAUGAACCCUGGGGACUCACUCCAACUUGGUAUUGAUUUUCUCCACGGAGGACCCAGCAGUCACGGCCCGUGUCUGCACAGCCCCUUGGAUCCUGCGGAGGAAUUCAGCCGGCCCCUCCCCCUGUGCCGAAAACCACGGAGGCAAAGCCAGGCCAGGUUCAGGGUACAGUGAGAACACGGGAGAGGACUGAGAGACCGCUGGCUGCCGAGGGAGGAAGAGCAGGAUUCGCACCCCCGUCAUCGCUGGGCCCACACGCCGCCGACAGCUUCCGCGUGUGGCCAUCUGUCUUUCAGAAACCCUCUGGCAGAGGGACCCAGCAGAUGACACGGGGGCCGUUCACACUCUGAAACCUGCCUGGAGUCAAAACACUGCUGGCGAGCCUCCACCGCAAACCCAAUCCAGAUGGUCUUCCCUGGUGGCCCUCGGGGUGGCGGGCACCCUGCCCACUCCCUGCCAGCCCCUGCCCGCUGGACUCCAGGCCCGGCCGAGCCCCCGACCGGUCUCCUGACCCAGCAUGCUGCUCUCCCCUGGGCCCGGCUUUCUCGCCCGCUGGGACUCCCAGGCCCCUCCAGCCCAGCCCCGAGAGCAGGAGCCCCAAGGGAGGCUUGGCGGCUGUGGAGGCGAGUGGGCCACGUGUAGCUGGGAGGCCGGCAGGACCAGGAGCCCCUCACAGCGCAGCACCCACAGCAUCACGAGCCACUUCCACUCCUGGGUGGCCUGGGGGCCCCCACCCUGCUCUGAGCUGCCCCUUGUUGUGACCUGGGGUCCCCCGUGGUGGGCCCGCCCCUUGAGCCUGGGAUCCAGCCUCAGCGAGGCUCCAGAAGUGUCGUCUCCGCCGGCCAGGCGUCAGCGCCUCCACCCAGGAUCACACACUCCUAUCUCUGCACUUCUGCCCUCCAUCCUGCUCCACGCCGCCUCUGCUUGUUAUUCCAGCACAUUCCAGGGUGAUGCCUGCUGAAGCCACGCAGCCAGUGCCUCCACCCUACCCCCCAUCUGACCCACCGGCCCCUUCCGCACGCUGGAAGCCUGCCCGGCCUGAAGUGUCCUCACCUGUCGCCCUAUCCUCCCCUCCACUCCAGCCCACCGGUGACUCAGCCCUCACAGCUCUCUCCUCCCCGAGGGAGCCGGUGACUUGGCUCUGAUGGUGCCGGGACCCAGCCCCGGCAUGUUCAGAAUCCUUGUCCUUUAACCUGCGUCCACAUGUAGUCGCCUCCACCUCCCUGCCUGAACCUCCAGGCCCUGCAGAGCAAACACUGCUGCCUGCAGGAGACCCCUGGGGCCUUCUCCGUCCCCUCAUCCUCCUAAGGAGCCUCCCCUGCCACCGUGCCAGAAUGUGCCGGAGGAACAGAGGCCCGAGCCUCCCGUGGCCCCAGCGAGGCUUCCUCUGGGGAAGACAGUGAGCCCAACGCCCUGGCUCUCGAGGGGUGGACGGAGUCCAGCUGGCAUCGACCGGGUGCCCCUCUUCACCGGUGUCCACAGUCCUUGAGAGCAAAGGGUUCCCAGAGGCGACCUCCCUCCUGCACAGGCAUUUGUCAUCCUUACCCUCUAGGACAGCUUUGCCAUGUGCAGUGAACCCCUGGACAGUGUUGCGUGCCACUUUGCCGGAUUUGGACUGUAUACAGACCGAAGCAUGUGGCAUGAAGCCUUCUGCUGUCAGCAAGUUCCUUGUCCCUCGACAGUAUGUGCCCAGGCUGCCCUUCAAGGUGGCAGUGAUGGCAGUUGUCUCUUGCACGCUGCGUACAGUUCUGUCACUGACUCUUACACACAGCCCUGGAGACGGGAGAGUGCCGGGAGCAUUCUAUGCAAGUGUCCUGGCCUUUGCGGGCGUCUCCACAGCACAAACACGAGUCAGGGACCACCCCUCUUCUGCUUCCAUGAUUCCACCAACUGGGUGGGGCAGAGCAGUGCCAGGGCCGGAGGCACGCCCCAGGUGAGGGCAGGUGGCCAUGCCAGUGAGUGCACUGCGUUCUCAGUUAAUUCAUCCGAAAUAUUUCUAAGUUUCUUGAUUAUUGCAGUUGCAUCCCCAAGAUAAUGCCGCCCUCACCAAGUAGAAGGCACAUGUGCUCUGAUGGCCCCUCCCACACUGGGGUCAGGGCACAGCAACUUAGCGAGGCGACGUGGGGGCUCAGAGGACCUCGGACCAGGCUCGGCACAUGGGGCUUCUCCAGCCAGCCAGGGGGAAGCACCCUGCAGACUGCUAACUUUUGCAAAAUAGAGUAAAAAAGAUCAGCUAGAAAAAUAAAACAAAAAAGGAAAGAUAUACAAAAUACAAGGCCAUUUAUAUUGUUGCAUUUAACAGUCAUCAACUCACUCCGUCUGAGGGGCGUUGGCAUCUGUGGACACACUCAGUGCCGAGGUUUGUCCCACUGCGGGCAGGCACAAGCGGCUUCCUGGGGGCUGGCCCUCGCCUGCUCUGCGUGGCUGUGCUGCAUGGGACACUGAGGCACCCGUCGGCUGCUCACUGCCUGGCUGCAUCUGUGAGGGAGGAAACGAGCUGGGUACCAGCUCAGCCUCUGAAGACCCCACGGGUGCCCUAAGCUGUGAUGUCUGUCCCCAAAGUUCAUUUUGGGUGGGAGUGCUGGGGGUGCAGGGACAGAGGGUUCCAGCUCACCCAGGGCCAGCCCUGACCAGACGGCAGGAACCAGGGUCUGCGGCUGGAUGCAGACGGCAGGCAGAUCAUUCUGGGGAAAUCCCUUUCUUAAACCACAUACUGUCCUGGGCUGAGCAGGCCCCCCUAAAAACUCAUGUCAACUCAGAACCUCAGAAUGUGACCUUAUUUGGAAAUAGGGUCUUUGCUGAUGUAAUCAAGUUAGGGUGAGCUCACACUGGAGUAUGGUGGGCCCUCAUCCAAUGACGGCAUCCUUGUAAGAAGAGGGAAGUCAGCCCCACAGAUGCAGGGAGGACAGCCACGUUUCAAUGGAGGCAGAGACUGGAGCCACACAGCUGCACGCAGAGGGACGCCCGGGGUCACCAGGAGCUGGAAGAGGCAGGGAGGACCCUCUCCUCGGGCCUCCAGAGUGGGCAGGGGCCUGAGGAUGCCCUGAUCCCCAAUUCCAGUCUCUAGAGCUGUGAGAGGCUCAGCAUCUUAGCUCCCCAGCGUGUGGCCUCUGUCAGGGCAGCCUUGGGAGCUGAGCCUGGCCCCUAACUCUCAGGAGCUCUCCCACAGACGGGGUUCUGCAUCUCCCGAGCACGUCCGAAGCCCCCUUUCCACAAGGGCCACUGCUCGCCAGGCUGACGGUGACCGCCACUUCCCUAGGGACCCACCUUCUGUUCCCAAAGGCCCUGCCUGACACCUGGCCACUCAGCCCCACCCCGCCUAGCCUGCACGCCCCACAUGUCCACGGGGUCUUCUCUGAACGGGCCUGGCCUUUCGGUGGGGAGGCGAGGACUCCAUUUGAGGGCUGGCCCCUGAUUGCUCCAGCAUUUCAGUGACAUUGUGCCCCAGGCCGAGGGAAGACUCUGGAAAAACUUCCCACCAAACUCCUCUUCUGCAGAGUUGAGCUGACAGGAAGUCUGUAACUUUCCUGCAAAACGUUAUUCUACCCCCGCCAGGUGAGCUGAGAUGGCAAAGGCUGACGACAAGGGUCCCGGGAGUCCCCACAGCUAUGGGGGAGGGUAACUGGCCCCCCCCCACCCUGUGGGGAAUAGCAGCAAAGCUUCACACAACCCCCAGGGCCAGUGUCUGCUGCUGAGCGCAGGUCCCACCAGAGCCAGCACGAAAGCCAUAGAAAGACAACCUGAAGUCACCAGUGUCCCUCGGCAGAAGGAACAACCCGUGGUGUCUCCCGCUCCCUCCCUGCACAGCCAUGAAAAGAAAGGGCCUGUGUACUCUAACAGCAGGGAGAACACAGUCCCCAAGACCCCCACAGGCUGGGAAGUCAGAGAUCACAGGAGAGGUCACCUCUGGGGGUCAUGACUCGGGGGAGUCCCUGGGGGGGACCAGGGGUUCUCUGUGGUUCUGGCGUGCUCUUGGAGGGACUCACUGACACGCACGGCGGUUACACGGGCGCAGACACGCAAAGACCUGAGCACGAGAUAAGAUUUGUGUCUUUCGUGGUACGUCAGCUUUACCCCAUUUUUAAAGACUUUCAAAAAUGUUAUUCUGGGCAUAUGCUUUGAACAGAUUGUAACCCCACCCCAGAAGGAGGACCUUGGAUGUGGAGCUGGCAAGCUGGAGCCGCCCAGGGCUGUCCGUCUCCCUGUGGCUUCUUCUCCAGGAGGCUCCCGGGAGCAAAGCCGAGUCGGCAAGGCCAUCCGCCCGCUGAGCAGGUGUUGGCUGCCUGGGUGGCACUUCCUGUGCUGAGGCUCAGGGCUCUGAGCCCUCAUGGCACAUAAGGUCUUGAGGACAGUGACCACACAGCCCAAUCGGCCGGGCAGGUGGACUUAGGAGGGAGAGCCGGAGGCUGCAGAGUGUGCUCCGAGGUACCCUCCGCCUGGGACUGUAAGAACAAAGAAGGCUCUGGGGUAAGGUGACAGGGACAACUCCAGCAGAGAAGCGGAGGGAGGGGUGGAGACAGCACGAGAUGACCGGAGACCACAUGUUGGGUAGUGCCGGCGGGGGGAACUAUGGGAAAGGGAUUGGGCCUGGCAUGAAGACCCCCAGCCCAGCCCCGUGGGGGUCCUAGCAACCCCAGAAGUCCUGCUAAGACCCUGGCACAGACCCCACUUCCCUGAGACUCAGCUUCCCCAUCUUUAAAGUGAAGCCUGGCGCCUGCCUGUGAGUGCGCUGAAAAUCAGAUGAUGGCAGCCACAGAGGCGCUCAGCACAGCGCCCAGCGCAGGGCCGGGACCCAGAGUGGACUCUACCGUGGGGCUGCCUCAAAGAAAUCUCAGCAAACACAGGAAGCCAGCCCACCCGUGCAGCCAUGGGGCCAGGAAGCCCGCCCUUUACCAAGUCAUUUGGGCAUUUUUUCUCUGUGCUAACAGCCCAGAUGGAGCCAUAGCCUCAACCUCUGUGUUCUGAUAACACCAAGCUGGGACGCCGGAGCCAUGCAGGGGACAGUGCCCGGCCUGAGGCUGCAGCCUGGGUCUGGAUGCCUUUCUAAUUCAGGGCCUCCUCAUGGCCUGGUUCCAUAAAUGGUCAAAUGCAGCCUGACAGCGCAGCCUCCUAUCAGCGCUGGGCUCCGUACCGCCACACAGCCCACAUACCCCGUUCCCCAGGAGACGCCCGCAGGUGGGCAGCGUCACUCCCACCCGCCGAGCACACGCUGUCCCCGUCUCGUGUCCCGAGGAGCCGGAAGCAGCUGCUUCCUCCCAGCCUGAAAGCUGCACCUCGGGCUGCACUCGGCUCCCCGAACCCGCCCUCCGCUGCCCUGCAAUUCGCCAAGGGAGCUACCCUUCCCAUAUAAAAAUUUCACCUCCAUUUCCUUGUAGAGAAGAAACAUUUCUGACAGCAAGGAAGAUUCUAAUUUGAAAAGCAAGUGAUUCAUCUCCCGGUGCCAAACAGCAGACGCAGGCGUUACCAGUCUGGGUGGGGCGCCCGAGCUGGGGACCUGGGGUCCUCUGGGAGGGGCAAGAAGGCAGCGAUGCUGGCCCCCGCCUCCAUCUGCCCAUCCCAUCUGCUUCCACACACCGCCCUGCCGUAGCUGCUUGCAGCCCUUCUCUGUCAGUUUCUCCAUCUUUUGGUUUGGUGAUAAAUGAGAGUUCCCAUCGGGUGUGCCACCCUCUGUGUGACGGGGAGCAGAGAAGACCCUGCGUCCAAGUCCUCCUGGGGGAAGAGCGAAGAUGCUGGGACCAGCCCCAGCUGUCAGGGGGUCUCCAAUCCCAGCAGGGAGGCCCCACGCAUGGCUAGGAUGCCCCAGACCCCAGGAACUGAAGGAAGUGGAAAGGAGGGCCCGCAGUCCUAACUAAGGGUUCAGACACCCCCCCAGUGCACAUCCAGGCACGCCCCCACCCCCUAGGCCUGGUUCUAGGUCUGCUAGCUCCGAGAAGGCCCCUAACAAUGACGCAGUCAGAGGGGCUGCGCUGGGCUCACGCUCAGUCCCACUGCCCCAGGGGUAGAUCCGGCCCCUGGCCCACGCGCUGUGGAGCCUUGGAGUGUCUGUGCGCCCCUUCCUUGGAGGGCAGCCGCUGAGGGGCUGCUGCGGGACCGGGGAGCCUCCUGGCAGCAAGCACUCCCAAUGCGUUGCUGGGACGCUGUGAUGGAGACAAGAUCCUGGCUUUGAAGAAAGCCCUUUCCACCCUGUCCAUGUGGGGGUCUCCCGGUGCCCCUGAGCCAGCGGCCCCCUCCUGCAGGCUCCGGAGGACUCCCCUGCCUGCAUCUGGUCUCGCAUUUCCUCCGUGACCUCCAAGCUCCCACUGGGGGCACACGGCUGCCCCGCUGACCCCAACUCUGACCCUGUGCCGGUGGUGGGCAGCAUCUGGCAUGGGGGAGGUACCAUUUCUUCCACACUCGCGCGUCCUCAGCCCAGAUCAUCCGGUGAAGUUUCCCCAGCAAGUGGCUCCCCCUGCCCCCUCCACCCUGCCAAGUGUGGUCCCUGGGCCCCCGACUUCCCUUCUCAGCCUCUGCCCCUGGGUCUGGGGCAUGCAUCCAGCCAUCCACGCUCAGGGAGGCCACCUCCUCCCUCGCUCUCAACCACCACAAAGCUGCCCGGGACCUUGUUCUAUCCUUUCCAAAAGUCCUCAGGACCUGCCUAUCUACGGAGCUCCCAAAACGCCCUGUGAGCUCUCCUGGGCCCCUCCUCUCCUUGCUAAUAAUGUCCCACAUGGUGCUGCCUGCCUGGCCCCAAAAGAAAAGGACCCUGGAGUGAGUUCUGAACACAAACUCGAUGAAAGUGGCCCCCUGCUCCACCUGCCGAGUCAGCCCCUCCUCAGACUCUCCCCUUGGGCAGGGAAACCUGCCGAGGCCUGACUGUUUCUUCCUGAAACAGCCUCAGGCUGGAAGGAGAGGGAUCCACCCUUGGCCAUUGAAGCAUUCAGCAGGAAUCAGCCCUCAGGGACCGAGACCCUGCGACCAGCCCCGCCCCACAGGUGCCGGUCCUGGGCAGCCUCCCUUGCUUAGGCCACACUGCUCCCAAGAAGCCAGGAUGAGCAGCUCGCAAUAGGCCCCCAACACGCAGAGUGCCAUGCAGAGGACGGGGGCACCCCAGAAAACUGCAGACACUGCAUGUCCUCUGGGAGCCCCGGCCCUGGGAGACGAUGUGCAGUGGCUCCAGCUCUGACCUCAUGAGCCCAAGCUCCGCUACACACUGGGUCCUGACCUGACCUGGGUCCCGGCGGCUCUCCGGCCAGGCCUCUCCCGGUGCCUCCCGCCCCUGAGGCCGGCACCCAGCAUCCAGGCCCCUGUAUAGUCAUCCCCUCUUCAGGAAUCUGGGUCAUGGCUGCAGGAUAGGGGCUACCCAGAGCAGGAUGUGGAGGGAGGGGCCGCAAAAGCCGGAGAGAAUCCACAAGGCACUAUUUAGCCACCUGCCCUUGAUUCUAAUUCUCAGUGACGAGAUUCUUUGCUUGGCCAAACUCUAUCAGGCCCUUGAGCCUUCUAGGCCACCUGCACACUUCCUUGCAAAAUCCGGUUUUAGCAAGAACACUGCUAAGUGACUUCAGCCAGAACUGCCCCGCCCCGUAUCUGAUCAUCCUCGUCAGGGCAGCAUGCUCGUCCUCCGGCACCCAGGUGAUGACGGAUGACCCCGCCUCCCUUCAGCCAGAACCCUCCCACCCCUGCUGUUUGUUCUUAGUGAUGUUCCAUCCGAGGACCCCACUCUGCUCCUGGGCUAUCAAAUCCCACUCGCUGGAGCCAUAUUCAGAGUGGAGCCUAAAUCUCUCUCCACCACUGCAAAAUCCCACUGCCCUGGUCCCAGCACCCACCGCACUGGUCCUGAGUAGUCCCCUUCCGGUCUUUAGCAAAGAUCAUUGAAUAAAUUUCCUUUCAUGUCAGGCACACCCUUAAAUGCAGACGUGUGUCCUGGGAGGAUUACCAACACUCCCCCGGCCCUGCACAUCAGCUGUGGAAGGUGAGAUUGGGAAGUGCUGGCCUCCUUGCCAAGGCUUCAGCCUCCAUUUCUGCUUUUCAGGUCAUGUUCGAACACUGGGGGUCCCAGGAGACCCACCCAGACCAGGCCCCUCUCAGGGUGGGAAGAGCGUGGAGCAAGAGGAGGAGGCUCGGCCCAGGACGUUGGCCACAGGCUGACCCGUGCAGGGGGCAAGGGCUUAAGACGGCCCCAUCUUCCACUCCAAGUGUGGUCUCAAUCUUGUUGGCCAGUUUAUGAAAGUCAAGCCUACUGACUCAGUCAGGGUCUUGGCAGGAAGGAGGCCAGGGCGCAGACAGAGAUAGGGAUCGCUCCAGGGGUGUGUGGCCCUGGGCUGUGGGGCAGUCCUGGAGCACCUCCACCCCAGCCUGCAGAACACCCAGGCGGAGCAGGAGCAGAGCUGGGCUGUGUAGGGGUUAGGGGACACGGCCAGCCCGCAACCCCAGCUCCCCUCCAUCUGCCUCCAGUUUCCAGCCAGGGCCCCCUCUGCCAAACCUGGCCCGAGGCAGGGGCCAGGGCUCUGUCUACUGGGGCCACAGGGAGGGUGGGGAGGGGGCCGGAGCUCCCAGGGCAAGGGGAGGGGCCACCCCCACCCCGUCACGCGCAUGGAGGAGGAGGAGGAGCCCACACUGCCCCAGCGUCCACCCCACGCCUACACCAGCCCCACAUGAGCUCGGGGGUCUCUGGGGGUCAGUGUCUGCAGCUACAGAUGUGAGCACGCAUGCGGGUGUGCAGGACCUUUGACCGCAGCCUCCCAUGCACCCCUGGAAAGGUGCCUUGCCUCUCUCCCUCACUCGCCAUGUGCAGGGCAGUGGGCGAGUCCCAGCCAGCAUGGGCAUCCCGCAUUUCUCUGCUUCUGCAGCCCUGACUGACCAUGGCCCCCCAAGUGGGCUCCAGCCCUCCAGGCACCUCCCCGUGCCGUGGUGCCCACCACAGGGCCUGGUCUCAGGGCUCCUCCAGGACUGGCCAAGUCCCCAGGCUCCUCCCCCACCCAUGGGGGGAGAGGUGCACAGCACUGACGGGCCCCUGGGCCACUCAUCUGAACUCUUGAGUCCUCCUAGAGCGGUGAUCCCAGCCGGGCAGUUAGCUUGAGCGAGCCGAGUACUUACAGGAUGUCACCAAACACAAGGUCCCAGCCCACAUUCCAUGACCUCAGCACUGCUCACGACGUCCUCCUGAGUCCAUGAACUUCUUGACGGUUCUCAUGGCCUCCUCCUGUGGACAGGGCAGGGCCGGCAGGUGAGGCACCUGCACGCACACCUAGCUCGACUCCCCAGGCCCACCCUGCAGACCCUCGGCCCUCUCCCUUCUUCCCACCCACCACUCUGGAGACGGGGCCUCCGGUCCUGGCCGCCCCUGUGGAAGAAUGAGGGUGAGCGAGGGGCUGGGUCAGCAGCACGGCAGUGGGGGAGCCACCCAGCCUCCUGGAGGAAGCGGCCGGGCAGCGCUGGCACCGUUCCACAUCCCUGCUGGAGCAAUGGGGCCAGCGUGGCCGCCCCACCCAGUCAGUGGUCCCCACCUGGCUGAGAGUCCCCAGGAGGCAGCACCCUCUUCCUGGGAAGUCAGGCAGGGUUCUAUGCAGGAGCCGACACUCACAGGGCUACCACAGGCCUGUGCGGACCCCAAGAGCCAGGAAGCCGCCUGCCGAUGGUCCCUCUUAGGGACUGGAUCGCGGGCAGCUCAGACGGCACAGAGUGCUUCCGGGUCGCAGUGUCCUCAUGUUGCGGAGGCCUGAGCUCCCUGGAGGAAAAGCAACACCUUCCAAGCCAUGCGGCGGAACGCUGGUGAGGCUCAAAGCCCUGGAGGUGACAGCCCCCAGACAGAGGCGUGGACCGUGUUUCCCUGUCGGCCCCUCCUCCAACCCCUCCACCAACCGCUCCGCCAGUGGCAGGUUUCCCACCUGUCUCCCAGCCCCCUGGAACUCUCCCCGGGCCUGCCUCUGGCUGUUUGCUGGGCCCCCCGUGGGAGCAGCACAGCGGCUGAGUGCCUGGGCGUGGCCCUACUGCCUGUGGGUUUCCAACGGGAAUUUAGAGUCUGAAGGCUGAGGACCCUAGGGGACCACCCAUUAGGGCUGAGGGCUCUGGAAAGAAGUUCAGGACAAAGGAGUUUGGGGAGAGCGCUGGGCUCAUUUUCCUGGGGCAGACAGAACCAAGUGCCCAUCACGGUGCAGCUUGAACAGCAGGCGUUCGGCGCCUCUCAGUUCCGGAGGCCGGGGGUCCAAGGUCAUGGUGUGGGCAGUGUGAGCCACCACACCCAGCCCAAGUCCUUUAUACAUCUUCUCAGGGGGUCUGUGUCUUAAACAGGAAAUAUUCAAACGCCCUUUCUCUAACUGAAGUAGGUUUUCAGAUUACUUUUACGUUUAUAAGAUAUUGUGGCUACUGACGGUUUAUUUUUUGCAAUUAUAACCGGCCCACUUUCCCGGGGUCUCCCUACACGUGCGGGGCGGGGGAGAGACUCCAGAGGGGGCUGCGGGAAACACAGGGGAGGGAGGCCUGGGGCUGGAGACGGCGGCCGCUCCUCAUGCGUCAGGGGCCUCUUUCGGGCCGCCAUUGCCUUAGCAGCGCCAAGUUCUUUCUGGGGCAAUCGCCGCUGUUGGUUUCAUCUCCCAGCACUGCCCAUUGGCCGCAGCACCUCCUGCCCCCACGGUGCACUCCCUUCUGCGGUCAUUUCCUUCCCUGGGGUGGAAGCAAGUGUAGAGCCAGCUCUUAGAGAGAGGCAGGCCAGCCAUCUGCAGAGUGGGAACCCUCCUGGGCCCCCUUGCCCUCCCCACGUCCGAACCUGUCCCGUCCCCCAUGGGCCCGCGCCCCCGCCAGCAACGGCAUCCCACACUGUGCGCCUGGCCGUCUCACACACCCCACACUCUGGGCUGACCUUCAAAGGGAAGCUGCUGUUUAAAUAUUUAAUCGUCCUUGGAGUGCCUGGACUUAAUCAUUAAGACCCUGAAUCAAAAGAGGAAAAAAAGCAUUUUAAAGAUGACUGAAGGCCGGGUGCAGUGGCUCACGCCUGUAAUCCCAGAACUUUGGGAGGUCAAGGUGGGCAGAUCACAAGGUCAGGAGUUCGAGACCAGCCUGGCCAACAUGGUGAAACCCCGUCUCUACUAAAAAUAUUAAAAUUAGCCUGGCAUGGUUGUGGAUGCCUGUAAUCCCAGCUACUUGGGAGGGUGAGGCAGGAGAAUCACUUGAACCCCGGAGGCAGAGGUUACAGUGAGCCGAGAUCACACCACUGAACUCCAGCCCGGCCAACAGAGCAAGACUCUGUCUCAAAAAAAAAAAAAGCAAAAAAAACAAAAACUAAAAAACUAAAAAAAAAAGAUGGCUGAAGCCUGUGAAAACACUGGGUUAGUGAUGCUUGUAUUCUCAGCCCUGCAGGGCUGCGGCACCUCCACCUCCGGCUUGGCCUCACACUGCUCCCGGGGUGUUCCCUUUGCUCUGGAGGCAGGGCUGUGCACCAGCCAGGCCUGAGACCCUGUCUGCCCUCCAGGACCUGCUGACCCUGCUAGAUCUUCGGUCCUGCCUUGCCCAGCGGCCGACUGAACAGAGCCCCUGUGGGCCCUGCAUGGCCACCAGGGGGCUACUCCACGGUGGGGUCAGGGGGCGAGCGUCCCCCUCCCCGUCUCGGGGAGGGACGCAGCUCCUGGCCUGCAUGCGCCCACCAUGGACGGGGAAGGAAGGGGCGCCCCCUUCAGUGUGUGAACCCCCAGCAAUCCCCUCUGCGGGGACCGCAUGUUUUCUAUACAGAAAGAACUUAGCUCACCAGGGACAUUUUGCUGAAACAGCUUGUAAAGGAUGGCGCCUGGCUGGUGCCUCUGCCUGCUAUGGGGUGCGGGAGGCAAUGUGGGAAGCUCCGUACUCUCUGAUCGAUGUAUCGGUAAAAUGAAAACUGCUCUAAAAAGUAGUCUUUUAACUUAAAAGAAAAAAGGAGAAUAAUUAGGCCAAGGGCUUGGCCAUUUUCUGAACAAGUCUAGUUUUGUGGGUUUCCAGCUGCCUCUCUGAGUCUCCUUCUGGGCCCCUGCAGACACAGCCCCCUCCUGGGGUAGGGGCGACCUGCCCUGAGCAGUCUGUGCCCCGGGCUCCCAGAGCUGCCAGUGUGUCCAGGCUCUCCCCAGCUAUCCGACUCCUGGGGAGCCUGCCAGGCCGGCAGUGGGUGGGUAUUUGCUUGCAUUUGCUUUGACAAAUCGCCACUCUGUGUGGAGGUGCCAGGAGCGUGAUUUACUGGGUGUGUGAUGACUACGGCUCCCGUAGCCAGGCCUGCCCAUCAAGCAGUGCUUUUGGCUUUCAGUGAGGGGUGGACUUUGCCGCGGGGGAUUGCCGGCUAGCUGAUCAGGACCCCAAGUCCUAAGAGGCACCGUGUCCACUCCACCUGCCCACGGGAGCUCCGUGCCCAGCGGUGGGCCCAGAGGGACGACGACCUCCUGUAGAGGGGGCCCCCACCAGUCCUAGCAGCCAAAGGUGCUCGAAGAGUGAAAGGACAUGCCACACUGUCCUCCUAACAGCAGUGACCAGGGCAGGAGAGCUGCUAUUUCUGGCCUACGGCCCAUUUUUCAGAGUCAAUUCAUUUUCUAGGCAGACACACACAUUCCUACAACUCUUUUCUCCAGAUCAUUCCUUCAGCCAGCUGGUUCUCCACCGGGAUUCCAGGAAAGAAUGAGGCCUUGCAAAAUGCUCUGAAUGGCUGUUCCCACCAAAGGUGGUGGGAGCCAAGCCCUUUCCAGGUACAGAGGGAAAGAAGGUGGUUUCGUGGGGUCUUGGCGUCAGCUCCACUCCCUCCCAGAUCACUAGUGCGAAGGGACAUGCCAGGCCUCUCCUCUAGGACAAAAACUAGUGUUUCUCUUGGAUUCACUGAAACAAGCUGGGCUGCCCCUUCUUACAGAUGGGGCUUGGGGCCCGUGGAGGGGAAGGGCCUGCGAGGUCCUGUUGGUGAUAACCAGGCCAGCCGAGAGCCCGGGAAAGGGCCUGUCCUCAGUCUGUGCCUUGGUGUCCUCCCACCCAGCCACAAAGGGACUCACUCAAGGUCACAGGGCUGCAGCGGGCUGCGUUCAACCCAGUGGCCCCCACACACUCCUUCAAGGACCAGCAUCCCAUGCCCAGCUUCUGCCACUUCCUCUCUGGGCCUGUGCCCAGCAGCAGGACAACCCUUGCCACAGGCAGAGCAGCCCCGCACUCUAGUCCAUUGAAAAGCCUGGUGAGAUGCCAGGCCAGGCCAUGAGCGCGGAGCCUGGUGGCGCGUGUCAGGAGGCGGCGGUGGCAACCUUGACGGUGGUGGUCCUGACUCAGGAGUCUGACUCACAAGGACUCCAGAGGAAGCAACUGACAAAACGUGUCUCCCGACGGGAGGGUGGCCCAGCUGUGAGGGCGUCUCCACCACCUCACCAUCAUCGUCAGAGCCACAGGAUUUGGGGGACAGAGGAACAUGGUAGACGACACUACAGAGACAGCCAGCAGAACCCAGAGUGUCGGAAAUUCUACAGGACAAACAAAGGACCAGGUUUCUUCAACAGAUAAACGAUGAGUGAUGUGUGUGUGUUGGGGGGGGGUGGGGGGGACGGAAGCUCUGGGCAUUCCGGAGGGACUUCAGAGUCACAGAGAGCCUUGGACUUCGUACUCAAACAAACCAACUCUGAAAAGACAGGAGACAACCAGGGAAAUUUCAACACUGCUAGCAGAUUAUCACAAAGAAUUCAAGGGUCGUGUUUUAGGUGUGAUAACGGUAGCACAGUUAUUUUUUUUGGAAGAGUCCCUAUUCUGUACAGCCACGCACUGAGGUAUUUCUCUGAUGAAAUAAGGUCAGGGAUUGCUUUAAAAGACUCCAGGGAGAGGAGGGGUAAGGGGCAGUGGAUCGGGGGAGGGAAGAAGGCUUAUAGGUCAGAUGGGGCUGCCAUGAUACUGCUCCCUCUCAAGUUCUUGAUGUUUAGAAAAAAUGUAUGAUAAAAAGUUAAAGGUAUAUGGCCAAAAAUUAACAAUAAUCACAAAAACAAGCCUGUCCUUACAGUGAGGCCAAACUCUUUCCUGUCUUCUAACUCUAGCCCAGGGGUCAAAAACAAAGGGAGGACCACAGGCCCCAGGGAGGCGCAGGAGGAAAAUAUUAAUACUGUCCUUUCAAAAUCUCAUCUUUUAAAAGUAUUUAAAAUGCCCAUAUUCUAUAAUCUAUGUAAUAUUUUACUAUUAGCUAGUCCAUUCUCCAGCCUGCGUGACAGAGUGAGACUCCGCCUCAAAAAAAAAAAAAAAAAAAAUCAAUGUGUGUACAUGUAUCGGGAGUGUGCACUCAAACUUUUGAUUGUUAAAGGAGGGUUUUCACAAAAGCUGGGAGACCACCCUUCUAGAACCCUGCCCUUGUAGGUCCAAGGCUACGCGCCCUGGCAGACUUCCAUGAGCUGCGACUACCAGCCACCAAGACGGUGUGCCCAGCCAACCCUGGUCCCCAGCUAGCUCUGACCCCUGCCCUGCCAGCAUCACCCUGAGAUUCUUCUGCAAAUUACAGUCUUCUCAGACUGUCUGUCGACCCUGGGGUCUCAAUGCUGGGUUCUCAACAGGCAGAACCACAGGGCUGCAUUGCGGGUUGUCUUUGAAAAAUGACCUGCCAAUAGAAAGUUGGGGACGAAAGCCCUCCAACAGUCUGUCCAAGCGACCCCCAAGAGAAACCACAGUGGGGUGCUGGAGGGUCCCCAACGAGGCACCCCCCCCCCUCCGACCACCCUGCUGUUACUUCCACCCACAUCGAAGUCCUAGGGUCUCUUCUAAUUUCCUACUUGGCCGUGCCUGAAAUGCCACUUCCAAAACCCGCAUUCCUAUGGUUGCAGAGGCCACAAGGGAGGGCCCUCGUGGUAUUUUUUCAGGACCCAAAACCACGAAGAUGCCAAGAAUCACAACUUUCACACAAAGGACACACUUUCUUUGAUGGAAUCUUCAGAUCACACAUCACAAAGGCAGCACGCCAUCAGUCUUUGAAAUGUCCCAAAACACGUAAAGAAUGUUCCGCUGCAGAUCCGGCUUGUUUCACGGGUGUGUGGCCUCCUCUUCCGAAGUCAUUUCAUUCUUCGGGGUCUUUGACACGCUCUGGCAACAAGCGCGGAGAGGUGAACGGGGCAGCGUUUGUGCUGAGAGUGGGCUGAGAGCGCCGCCCUGCCCACUCCGGCCUGGGGCAUCCCAUCUCUGCCAGGUUCUGGGCUUUGCAUUUUCUUUUCAUUUCAUUCUUCCCAGGCAAGAGCACAAGGAAACAAGCAGAAGGAAUUCAGAGAAACAGCUCCAGGCUCCAGCUCAAAGGCCGACACCAAAAGCGAACACCUCUGGGCGCUCUUGCCUUCAAGAAGGUGGGGAGGCUCACAGACGCAGCAUCCACCCCUCGCAGGGAACCUCAGUUCCUGGCCUGUGGUCCCAUGAAGGACAUCAGGCUGGCAGAUUGGAGCACACCCCUUCUUUCUAACCCCUCUUGAAAGCUUCCUUGAAUCUGCCAGUCCUGCCCCCUGGAGCAGGAAGGAAAACAGAAGGCCUAGGACGCUAGAGGGGUCCCGAGCUUUCCGGAGCUCCAGCCACCAUCAGGUCUGACUGCUCAGGGACAGACACACCGACCACAUCCUGACCUCAGGAUGACCUGCGGAAGUACUUGGCAUUUCUUCUUAGCCAAAUCCCUUCAUUAAAAGACGGGUGAGGGUUCCAGCGCUGCCCUCUUCCUUCUCAAAACUCUUAUUUCAGGGCUGAAGCCCAGACGUCCAGCCCGUCAGAAAUCCCCUUAGCCUGAGCUUGGCACCCAGAAGCUAGAGAGUAAAUGCACAGGGGCCGGGGUCUGAGCCCUUCCGCAAGGAUGGGGAUGGGGGCCACAAUCCACACACACCACACCACAAACCACACACCACACACCCACACACCACACACACCACACCACAAACCACACACCACACACCCACACACCACACACACCACACCACAAACCACACACCACACAUUACACAGCACACCACACACACACACCACACACACCACACACCACAUACACACCACACACCACACACACACCAAACACACCACACACACCACACACCACACACACGCACCACACACCACACACACCACACACCACACACACACACCACACACACCACACUUACACCACACACACACCACACACACCACACCCACACACACCACACACACCACACCACACACAACCAUACCACACACACCAUACCACAAACCACACACAACACACCACAUACCACACACCACAAACCACACACACCACAAACCACACACACCACACACACCACCCACACCACACACCNNNNNNNNNNCUACACAUCACACACCUCACACUACAUACCUCAUACACACCACACACCACACACCCCACAUACCUCCCACACACACCAUACACACACACUAGAUCUCAAACAUAACAUACACCACAUACCUCACACCCCCCCGACACUAUACAGCUCACAUAUACACAACACACACCUACCUUACACACAUGCCACACACUCCACAUCCCUUACACACAAUCAGUAUAUAUCACACAUACACAAUACAUUCCUCACACCCCACAUACCUCACACAACCACAUACACUACACACACAUCGCACACUACCUCACACACAUACUGUAUACCUCACACAUACAUUUCACACACACCACACACCUCACACACAGUGCACACACACCACACCCCUCACACGUUUCCUUGCAGAGCCGUAUUGUGUGUGUGUGUGGUGUGUUCAUGUGUGUACUUGUGUGUAUAUGGGGUGUGUGGUAUGUUCGUGUGUGUACUUGUGUGUAUAUGGGGUGUGUGGUGUGUAUAUGUGUGUGGGGUAUGUGUGUGUGUGGUGUGUGCGUGUCCUGCUCAUGCAGAGUGUCCGCAACCACUUCUCGCCUCCUCUGUCCCACCCGCCCAACCCCCUGGCACUCCUGUGGACUAUGACCCCCUGAAGCCACAAACCCCGAGCUGAGCUAAACCACUGCUCGAGGUGCGGGGUGCGCAGCACUCCACAGCCCGUUGCAUUUCCACGUCGCAAAUCCUCAGGGAGCAUUUCCUUGGAGAUACAAGAAGUGCAUCCACGUGUUCCCAAGUCCUUUCGCUCAGGGAGUGCCGACUGGUGUCGGCCUUCCAGAAAUGACUUUCUAAGCACUUCCAUCCCACGCAGACCUGCUUCCUGAAGCCCAGCCUGGUCUCUCUGUGCCCGUGUGUCAUCCUUGCCCACUCUUACAUGCUGCGAGGCUGGCUGUGUCUGCAGCCGCAGCCAUCAGAGGCCUGGAGGUAGCAGAAGCAGCUCUGGUGUGCGCUCAAAAGCUCCUUGCGGCUUGCUCCAGCCACUCACUUAUCACCGUGUGGAGUAGAGGGUGUGUGUGUGAGUGCGGUGUGUGUGAAGCCACACCAAACUCAUUCCCAGCCUAGGGAGUGAGCCUCCUCUGGCCCGGGCUUAACAAACUCUGGUCAAUGUGACCCACGCAGACAGCAAGAGGAGGGACGUCCACUCGCACAGACCCACUUGACCUGGGUGCAGCUGACUUCCUAGUCUUCCCUUCUAUGAAACGGUGACUUCUGUGGCAUGCAGCCCUGCCCUGGCCCGCGGGGACACGCAAGCUUGGGACCCAGGAGAGCAAUGACACCGGAAGGGCCAGGCCCUUUGCUGUCUUGGGGGUGCCAGGCCAGAACUCCAAGUCACCAAGCAAAGAGGGCCCCAGAGUCCCCUGUGGUCCCCAAACCUGGCCAAGGUUAGAGUCACCGAGGGGCCUGGACAGAUGCCAGGGCCAGCCCAGGCCUGCCACGGCGGGGGAGACUGCCGGGAGGCGAGGCUGGGAGUCUCAUCAUCAAGCUUCCCGGGGCUCUUGCUGGCAUCCCACCCAGGGUUUUAAGGGACAUUUGGCAGCAGCUGGACUCCGAGGGAGGGGGUUGGGGGACGACCAUGCAUUUGUUCUGGGAAUGCUCUUGCAUGUGCCCGCAUUGCCCCUCAUGUCCCCAUGUCCAUGCCAGGUGGACAGCGUGUCCACCAAGGCCCUGACUGCACAGCCAGCUGUGCUCUCGGGAGCAUGCCACUCGGCCGGCUCUCCGGCCCUGACUCAGCUCAGGCAGGGGCUCAGCGCCCAGUCUGUGCUUGCAGGUCGUCGCUCAGGCCGGAGCCGAGGAGCUUCGCCAGGCCUGAGAUACCUAGACAAGAAGUGCCAGCUCCAGUGCCUGGGGAGGCCAGGCAGGGACGUACGCCACGAGGGAUGACGCGGGGUGGAGAUGGUGGUGAACGCACAGAGUCAUAACGCAGUGGCUUCCCACCUUCGCCAUGUGGGAAUGUGGCUCCAGGGAACUAGACUGGUCUGUGGCACUUCCUCUUUGAAAGGUAGGCCAUUCCUCUAAAAGAGCUGGAGGCGUGGCAGGCCGGCAGCACAGGCACUAACAAGGCAACCAGCCACUGUCAGAGCACACCACACCUCUGUUCUCACCAACCUUUCAACUUACAGAAGAGGAGACGGCCUCGAGACCCAGUGUGCGUGACCAGUUCCACGUGCCACUAGCGCCAGCCGCCUAGAACUCCAAGAGAGGAAAGCAAGAGCUCCCUUGCCAUGCGUUUGCUCAGAACUUUAAUUUUUUCUCCUCAAGGAAAGUAAAAGAAACAGGUCUUCCUUCCACUGUGCAGGCAGUCAGCG
rnacentral:lncRNA from 1 species